rnacentral:rRNA from 1 species
AUACGUAGGGGGCGAGCGUUGUCCGGAAUGAUUGGGCGUAAAGGGCGCGUAGGCGGCCCGGUAAGUCUGGAGUGAAAGUCCUGUUUUUAAGAUGGGAAUUGCUUUGGAUACUGUCGGGCUUGAGUGCAGGAGAGGUAAGUGGAAUUCCCAGUGUAGCGGUGAAAUGCGUAGAGAUUGGGAGGAACACCAGUGGCGAAGGCGACUUACUGGACUGUAACUGACGCUGAGGCGCGAAAGUGUUGGGAGCAAACAGGAUUAGAUACCCUGGUAGUCCACACUGUAAACGAUGAAUACUAGGUGUGGGGGGACUGCCCCCCUCCGUGCCGCAGUUAACACAAUAAGUAUUCCCCCUGGGGAGUACGAUCGCAAGAUUGAGACUCAAAUGAAUUGACGGAG